UGGGAGAGGGAGGCGGCGCGGGGGAGGAGGGGAAGGGGAGAGGGAGGCCGGGCCGCAGCCUCUGCACUCACGCCGCCCCCGCACGCACAGCGCACCUGGCGCCGUCUGCCCUCCGCAGCGCUCUCCCCUUUCUCUGGGAGGACAACCUGCUGACCCGAAGCCAGGAUGGACAGCAGAUGGCAAUGUUCCUGCUGGACCUGGUCCCUGCUGGUUCUGGCGGUUGUGGCUGGGGACACAGUGUCAAUCGGGUCCACGGACAAUAGCCCGACAUCCAAUAGCCUGGAGGCGGGCACGGACGCCACGGCCUUCUGGUGGGGGGAAUGGACCAAGUGGACGGCGUGCUCCCGAAGUUGCGGAGGUGGGGUGACUUCCCAGGAGCGGCACUGCCUGAAGCAGAGGAGGAAGUCCGCCCCAGGCCCCGGGAACAGGACCUGCACGGGCACGUCUAAGCGGUACCAGCUCUGCAGAGUGCAGGAGUGUCCGCCGGACGGGAGGAGCUUCCGCGAGGAGCAGUGCGUCUCCUUCAACUCCCACGUGUACAACGGGCGGACGCACCAGUGGAAGCCUCUGUACCCGGAUGACUAUGUCCACAUCUCCAGCAAACCGUGUGACCUGCACUGCACCACCGUGGACGGCCAGCGGCAGCUCAUGGUCCCCGCCCGCGACGGCACAUCCUGCAAGCUCACCGACCUGCGAGGGGUUUGCGUGUCUGGAAAAUGUGAGCCCAUCGGCUGUGACGGGGUGCUUUUCUCCACCCACACACUGGACAAGUGCGGCGUCUGCCAGGGGGACGGUAGCAGCUGCACCCACGUGACGGGCAACUAUCGCAAAGGGAACACCCACCUUGGUUACUCUCUGGUGACCCACAUCCCAGCUGGCGCCCGAGACAUCCAGAUUGUAGAGAGGAAGAAGUCUGCUGACGUGCUAGCUCUUGCAGACGAAGCUGGCUACUACUUCUUCAACGGCAACUACAAGGUGGACAGCCCCAAGAACUUCAACAUCGCAGGCACCGUGGUCAAGUACCGGCGGCCCAUGGAUGUCUAUGAGACCGGAAUCGAGUACAUCGUGGCACAGGGACCCACCAACCAGGGCCUGAACGUCAUGGUGUGGAACCAGAAUGGCAAAAGCCCCUCCAUCACCUUUGAGUACACGCUGCUGCAGCCACCGCACGAGCCGCACGAGCGCCGCCCCCAGCCGGUCUACUACGGCUUCUCCGAGCCCGCCUCCGAGAGCGCUGAGAGCCAGGGCCUGGAUGAGGCCGGGUUGAUGGGCUUCGUCCCACACAACGGCUCCCUCUACGGCCAAGCCUCCUCAGAGCGGCUGGGCCUGGACAACCGGCUGUUCGGCCACCCGGGCCUGGACAUGGAGCUGGGCCCGAGUCAGGGCCAGGAGACCAACGAGGUGUGCGAGCAGGCCGGCGGCGGGGCCUGCGAGGGGCCCCCCAGGGGCAAGGGCUUCCGAGAUCUCAACGUCACAGGGACUCCUCUCGCCGGGGACAAGGAUGACCAAGAGGUUGACACCCACUUCGCCUCCCAGGAGUUCUUCUCGGCUAAUGCCAUCUCUGACCAGCUGCUGGGCACAGGCUCUGACUUGAAGGACUUCACCCUCAAUGAGACUAUGAACAGCAUCUUUGCACAGGGCUCUCCGAGGAGCUCCCUGGCCGAGAGCUUCUUCGUGGACUAUGAGGAGAACGAGGGGGCUGGCGCUUACCUGCUCAACGGGUCCUACCUGGAGCUGAGCAGCGACAGGGUUGCCAACAGCUCCGCCGAGGCCCCAUUCCCCAAUGUCAGCACCAGCCUGCCCACCUCGGCCGGGAACAGGACUCACAAGGCCAGGACCAGGCCCAAGGCGCGCAAGCAAGGCGUGAGUCCCGCGGACAUGUACCGGUGGAAGCUCUCAUCCCAUGAGCCCUGCAGUGCCACCUGCACCACAGGGGUCAUGUCUACGUACGCCAUGUGUGUCCGCUACGAUGGGGUCGAGGUGGAUGACAGCUACUGCGAUGCCCUGACUCGUCCCGAGCCUGUCCACGAGUUCUGCGCCGGGAGGGAGUGCCAGCCCAGGUGGGAGACGAGCAGCUGGAGCGAGUGUUCGCGCACCUGCGGAGAGGGCUACCAGUUCCGCGUCGUGCGCUGCUGGAAGAUGCUCUCGCCCGGCUUCGACAGCUCCGUGUACAGCGACCUGUGCGAGGCAGCCGAGGCCGUGCGGCCUGAGGAACGAAAGACCUGCCGGAACCCCGCCUGCGGGCCCCAGUGGGAGAUGUCAGAGUGGUCCGAGUGCACUGCCAAGUGUGGGGAGCGCAGUGUGGUGACCAGGGACAUCCGCUGCUCAGAGGAUGAGAAGCUGUGUGACCCCAACACCAGGCCUGUAGGGGAGAAGAACUGCACGGGCCCGCCCUGUGACCGGCAGUGGACUGUCUCCGACUGGGGACCGUGCAGUGGAAGCUGCGGGCAAGGCCGCACCAUCAGGCACGUGUACUGCAAGACCAGCGACGGACGAGUGGUACCUGAGUCCCAGUGCCAGAUGGAGACCAAGCCUCUGGCCAUCCACCCCUGUGGGGACAAAAACUGUCCCGCCCACUGGCUGGCCCAGGACUGGGAGCGGUGCAACACCACCUGUGGGCGCGGGGUCAAGAAGCGGCUGGUGCUCUGCAUGGAGCUGGCCAACGGGAAGCCGCAGACGCGCAGCGGCCCCGAGUGUGGGCUCGCCAAGAAGCCUGCCGAGGAGAGCACGUGUUUCGAGAGGCCCUGCUUCAAGUGGUACACCAGCCCGUGGUCAGAGGCCCUCUGUCUCUCCCACACUAGUGCACCAAGACCUGCGGGGUGGGCGUGAGGAUGCGAGACGUCAAGUGCUACCAGGGGACCGACAUUGUCCGUGGUUGCGAUCCACUGGUGAAACCUGUUGGCAGACAGGCCUGUGAUCUGCAGCCCUGCCCCACGGAGCCCCCAGAUGACAGCUGCCAGGACCAGCCAGGUACCAACUGUGCCCUGGCCAUCAAGGUGAACCUCUGCGGGCACUGGUACUACAGCAAGGCGUGCUGCCGCUCCUGCAGGCCCCCCCACUCCUAGGCCCAGCAGCUGCAGCCCCUUCCAGACGAAGACCCAGCGCCCCUCCUGGGGCUGCUGCAGCUUCUGGGGCCUCCACAGACCCCCCUCCUGCAGGGCAUGCUGGCCUGAGACGUGGCACUGAGUCUCGGCUGUCAAGAGGGGACUUCCCACGGCCCAUGGACUUUUGUGCUCCUGGGGCAGAGACUCCGGCACCCACUGGCCUCCCCCAGACAGGGCCACCCGUGCCGUGGGAACCUGUCUGUGUUCCUGCGUGGAUCCUGUGUGUGUGGCUCCCACUCCCCAGCCCCCAGCAGCCCCCAGCCGAGGGGCCCGAGGCCCACAGCCAGCAGUGGAGGUGUCUUGCCCCGGGCCGGCAGCCCACGCCCUCUCUAGGUGGCAGGGCCUUCUGAAGGAAACUUGCAGGCGAGCCCAAUGUGGGGGGGGCCUCCCUCCCUCGGAGACCACAGGGUGAGAGGGACACAGGCAGCCAAGGAGGCCCAGGCGUGCUCCCUCCUAUAGAGCCCCUCCCGUGGAGCUCUCUUCCCGCCGCACUUUCUACCCCGGGCAGAGGCGCUUGCCCACGGGACGUUUGGGGAUGGACCGCGGGCCCCGCCCCUGCAGUCAUCGUCAGUGCUCAUCUACGUUAAUAAAGUGGUCCUAUUUAUGGUGGCAUCA